GAUGAAGAACGCAGCGAAAUGCGAUAAGUAGUGUGAAUUGCAGAGUUCAGUGAAUCAUCGAAUCUUUGAACGCACAUUGCGCCCCUUGGUAUCCCGAGGGGCAUGCCUGUUCGAGCGUCAUUUCACCACUCAAGCCUGGCUUGGUGUUGGGCGACGUCCCCUUUGGGGACGCGCCUCGAAACGCUCGGCGGCGUGGCACCGGCUUUAAGCGUAGCAGAAUCUUUCGCUUUGGAAGUCGGGGCCCCGUCUGCCGGAAGACCUACUCGCAAGGUUGACCUCGGAUCAGGGAGGGAUACCCGCUGAACUUAAGCAUAUCAAUAAGCGGAGGA
rnacentral:misc_RNA from 1 species